GAUGAAGAACGCAGCGAAAUGCGAUAAGUAAUGUGAAUUGCAGAAUUCAGUGAAUCAUCGAAUCUUUGAACGCACCUUGCGCUCCUUGGUAUUCCGAGGAGCAUGCCUGUUUGAGUGUCAUUAAUGUAUGUCAACCUCUUUGAGUGUUGGAUGUGGGGGUCUUGUUUUGCUGGCCUUUCUUUUGUCCAAGAAGGUCAGCUCCCCUAAAAUGCAUUAGCGGAACCUUGUGUGGACCGUUCAUUGGUGUGAUAAUUAUCUACACUAUUGACGUGAAGCAGUUCAGCUUCUAACUGUCUAUUGGCUUGGACAAUGUUUCAUUAAUGUGACCUCAAAUCAGGUAGGACUACCCGCUGAACUUAAGCAUAUCAAUAAGCGGAGGGA
rnacentral:misc_RNA from 1 species